rnacentral:tRNA from 1 species
UGGGGUAUAGUUCAAUGGCAGAGUGCAUGCUUGGCACGUAUGAGGCCCUGGGUUCAGUCCCCAGCACAGUAA